UACGUAGGGCGCAAGCGUUGUCCGGAAUUAUUGGGCGUAAAGAGCUCGUAGGCGGUUUGUCGCGUCUGUCGUGAAAGCUUGGGGCUUAACCCCAAGUCUGCGGUGGAUACGGGCAGGCUGGAGUUCGGUAGGGGAGACUGGAAUUCCUGGUGUAGCGGUGAAAUGCGCAGAUAUCAGGAGGAACACCGGUGGCGAAGGCGGGUCUCUGGGCCGAUACUGACGCUGAGGAGCGAAAGCGUGGGGAGCGAACAGG
rnacentral:rRNA from 1 species